rnacentral:rRNA from 1 species
AUUGAACGCUGGCGGCAUGCUUUACACAUGCAAGUCGAACGGCAGCACGGGCUUCGGCCUGGUGGCGAGUGGCGAACGGGUGAGUAAUAUAUCGGAACGUACCCUGGAGUGGGGGAUAACGUAGCGAAAGUUACGCUAAUACCGCAUACGAUCUACGGAUGAAAGUGGGGGAUCGCAAGACCUCAUGCUCCUGGAGCGGCCGAUAUCUGAUUAGCUAGUAGGUAGGGUAAAGGCCUACCUAGGCGACGGUCAGUAGCUGGUCUGAGAGGACGACCAGCCACACUGGAACUGAGACACGGUCCAGACUCCUACGGGAGGCAGCAGUGGGGAAUUUUGGACAAUGGGGGCAACCCUGAUCCAGCAAUGCCGCGUGAGUGAAGAAGGCCUUCGGGUUGUAAAGCUCUUUUGUCAGGGAAGAAACGGGCUUGGCUAAUAUCCAGGCCUAAUGACGGUACCUGAAGAAUAAGCACCGGCUAACUACGUGCCAGCCGCCGCAGUAAUAC